AAAUUUGAUCCCCUGAUCACUAAUGCAUCGGAUCCCAUCAGAACUCUAUAGUUAAGCAUGCUUGGGAUAGAGUAGUACUGGGAGGGGUGACCUCCUGGGAAGUCCUAGUGUUGCACCCU
rfam:Picea glauca, whole genome shotgun sequence.